rnacentral:rRNA from 1 species
AUGGACGAAGGUCUGACCGAGCAACGCCGCGUGAGUGAAGAAGGUUUUCGGAUCGUAAAGCUCUGUUGUAAGUCAAGAACGUGUGUGAGAGUGGAAAGUUCACACAGUGACGGUAGCUUACCAGAAAGGGACGGCUAACUACGUGCCAGCAGCCGCGGUAAUACGUAGGUCCCGAGCGUUGUCCGGAUUUAUUGGGCGUAAAGGGAGCGCAGGCGGUCAGGAAAGUCUGGAGUAAAAGGCUAUGGCUCAACCAUAGUGUGCUCUGGAAACUGUCUGACUUGAGUGCAGAAGGGGAGAGUGGAAUUCCAUGUGUAGCGGUGAAAUGCGUAGAUAUAUGGAGGAACACCAGUGGCGAAAGCGGCUCUCUGGUCUGUCACUGACGCUGAGGCUCGAAAGCGUGGGUAGCGAACAGGAUUAGAUACCCUGGUAGUCCACGCCGUAAACGAUGAGUGCUAGGUGUUAGGCCCUUUCCGGGGCUUAGUGCCGGAGCUAACGCAAUAAGCACUCCGCCUGGGGAGUACGACCGCAAGGUUGAAACCCAAAGGAAUUGACGGGGGCCCGCACAAGCGGUGGAGCAUGUGGUUUAAUUCGAAGCAAUGCGAAGAACCUUACCAGGUCUUGACAUCCCGAUGCUAUUCUUAGAGAUAGGAAGUUACUUCGGUACAUCGGAGACAGGUGGUGCAUGGUUGUCGUCAGCUCGUGUCGUGAGAUGU